UAGGAGAGUCUGCACGGAACACACAGACUGCUCGCGCUGCUGCUGGCCGUGUGGGACACCUGGUGAAGCACAGCAGAGACUGGAGAUGGUCGUCACCCAAUAAAUAGUCAGUAGGUGGCAGCAGCAGUAAGCAGGGUGGCGGUGGCCGGAGUUUGUACAGCAGCCUGUGACCUAGUGGCGGCAGGACCCAGCUGGCCCCAACUCUCCGAAAGCACACUAGACUCUAUGUUCUCUACGCACGAGAGGUCCUCCGGCGUCUGCCGCCCUUCUUAACUACACCAGAGGCUGUCUUUCUGUACACCGGGUGUGUCUGUAGUCAAGCGGGUCUCAAGCCAGCCACGUCAGCUCGAGAAGAAUAAAAGAAUGAGGUUUCAACGGGAGGAAAUGUAAAAUCAAAGGGCCAACGGAAGGGCGGCUCGCAGGCCUGAACACACGCUGGUCACAGAGACUGAUCAAGACGGCUUUAAGAACCUCAGACCAAGACUUGGGGGAGGACGCGGUCACGGCCAGCGAGUCCGGGAGACAAGACAGGGCAGGAUGGCCUCGCUCUAACCUAUUUGUACUCUAGCACGGCUGGAAUGGGCAAAGGACGCAACACAGCGUUUUCCAAGAGUCUGAGGCCUUGUCGGGGGUGGACGCUCGGGACGCUAACACCGGCUCUCCUCCGCCACUUGAGCAUAACACAGUUUCCGCAAUGUUGUCGCCUUGGGCUCGGCGUGGGUCUCCUGGCCCCCCCAAGCACGCUAAGGACCCGGCGAGACGCUCCCCUCUCUGCCGCGGGACUCUCUUUGUACCUCUAUUCCAGUCCUCUUUGUUGCCAGCUCCUCACCAGGACUCAAGAAG